AUCUUCUAGAGAACUUGUGAUGCAUCUGACAUUCAACAAUACCUGAGGAAGGAUUCCCUCAUGACUGUACAACUGAGAGGACAAAACUUUAAUAUAAAGCAACUUGCCAGCUAUAUCAUCACUGGUGGAGACAUAAAUUGAAGGAUUUCUAUCUUAACCCUACCGACUCUUGAACACUGGAAAUUGAAGGUACACACUCAUACACCACUGUUAAGGACCCUAGUCCCAUGAACACUGGAAUAUGGAUCAUGAAGAACUUGCUGUUGCUGCCUGUGACAAAAGAUGAGAACCUGAUGAUCAACUUCCACCAUUCAUUUCGCUCGUCUCUCACAUGUUGUUUCAGCAGAACAUAAGGAUACUGAACUAACAGAUGGUAGUGCCAAGAAUUUUGAUAGUUAAUACUGAUGUCAAAACUGAAGUAAUGCUGCAAUGAG
rnacentral:lncRNA from 1 species